UUCCCGUGUGUGUGUGUGUGUGUGUGUGUGUGUGUGUGUGUACACACACACACACACACACACACACACACAGUGGUA
rnacentral:miRNA from 1 species